CCCUUUGGGUUUGUUUACAUCGACAACUUAUCUAAAAUCGAGACGUUUUAAACCGGUAAAGGCAAUGUUAUUUUUAUUAAUUAAUUUUCCAAUCAAUUUGUGCAAUCAAUCAAUCAAAAUUAUUUUAUUUAUAAUUUAGUUCCUGCAUUUAAUUGUGUUUCUAGUUUUAAGUGCUGAAAUAAGUGAAAUUUUUCUACAAAAAAGUAAAUUUCAUUGUGUAACGUUAUGUAAGCCCUAUUCGUUUGAUUCUCUGCUUCCUUUGCUAUCUCAUUCUGUAUUUUUGUUUCUGCCUUUUACUUGGUGCUUAAUUUCAACAAUUAAAGUUCGUCAAGUGAUUUCUAAGGAUAAGCCAAAUCUCAAGAUAUUGACAUUAUUUUCUUCUGUUUGAGCAGUUAAUUAUUUCAAACAGCUUGAAAGUAAAUUUCUAUUAUAAUUUUUAAACGGAGAAAAGGCUGAUUGUUUGAAGGGAAAACAAUAUACAAGGGCGUUUGCAUGAAGCAGUUGUAACAGGCAACAAUCAAGAUUUUCAAAUCAUGAGUUUAUCAUCAUCAUUGUCAUUGGUUCUGUAUUUAUCAAUGGUCACAAGAACAACAGGAACAACAACAAAAUAACGUUUCAACAAAUCUAAAAGUGAAUACAAGAGGACAAAAAGGAGAGAAGCUCGAGACUAAAAAAGAGGACAAAAAAUGAAGAAAAACCUUAAAGACUUGACAAGGGUUUGGUCCACGAGUCCAAAGAAGACAAUGGACGUAAAAAGGAAAAAAAAUGUUUGAUUCUAUUUGAGAAAAGCAAAUCUCAUUGAUUCCUUUAAGGUGUCUUGUGCCUGUUUUUUUUCUUACCUUAUCUUCAUCUUCAUCAUCUUCGUCUUCCUUACUGAUGGUUUGUAAGAAAAUGCAAGUAAGAUGAAAAGGUUAAAACGGCUUCUCCAUUACUAUUUACUACUAAUAUUACUACCACGAAGUACACAUUGUCUAGGACAAGGAAAGAUUGAAAAGUGGAGGUAAAAGGUACGUGUCAGUGGCACACUCGUCAUGGGAAAAUAAUACUGACCUUUAGGUUGCUGGUGAAAGGUUGCUGGUUGCAUUCACCUUUUGUUAAUCUCUUAACCAUUGUAAAUUACAAUACAUGUAUAACUAUGUAUAUGUAUGUGUUUAUAUGAAGAAGAAGAAGAAAAAAAUAGUUAUAGUAAAGUGCCAUUAAUAUAUAUUAUUUAAAUGUAAAUACCUUAGCUUAUUGUGAUUGUAAUGAAAAAUUGGCAGGCAUUGUAUUCAGGUGAAUCAAAUAUUAUUUUUAAUCAUAGAUUUAUUGAAAUUUUAUAACAACAUUUAAAACGUAUAAACGUUUUCAACAUCUGAGAAGCAAUAAAGUGAUUCGGAUGAUAUCUUCAAUCAAUUUGAAAUCUUGUUUAA